AGGGCGUUCGCGCACACCGCCCCCCCUACGGCACGUCUAGCGAUAGGGCUCUACGAGGUGCGGCGUGCACGACCUUCCUGCCGUUCCGGAUAAAACGAGCGCCCCGCCGAACGACCGGGGACAAACCGCGGACGGCGCACCGUUGACGAUGUUGUCGGCGCUCUCGCUAGCGCUGCUCUGCGCGGUCGGGGCCGGCGUGGGACCGGUCGCACAGGCCGCGGCACCGCUCCAGAUCGACUGCAUCCAAGACGAGUCCGCCGAGCGUCUGCAAAACUUCACCUUCAAGGAUGUCCAGGAGAAGGACACCAUCCCCCUGAGCAGGUUCAAGGGCUACGUCGCUCUGGUGGUGAACGUGGCCACCUACUGAGGCCUGACCCCGACCUACCUGCAACUGAAUGCACUGCAGGCCAGGUUCGGGCAAAGGAACUUCACCGUGCUCGGGUUUCCCUGCAACCAGUUCGGAAAGCAAGAGCCCGGUACCCGCCAGGAGAUUCUGAACGGGAUCAAGUACGUGCGUCCGGGCAACAACUACGUGCCCAACUUUCCCAUGUUCCAGAAGAUCGAGGUGAACGGGGAAAACCAGCACCCGCUCUACACUUUCCUCAAGGGUCGCUGCACCUCGCCGAAUCCGGUUUUCAGCGCCAAGGAUAAACUCUUCUACUCACCCCAGAACAACAACGACAUCCGUUGGAACUUCGAGAAGUUUCUGGUUGACAGGCGAGGAGUGCCGGUGAAACGCUACGAGCCCCGCUACUCGCCCGACGAGGUCGCUCGCGACAUCGAGGUCCUCACAAGAUCGAGCUAGAAAGCCUCUGCGUCGAGCAGGACGAAGGUGAACAGAAACACCCCGUGUACGCAUGCAACAGUACCUCAGUCAGUCAUCUCUUGUUGUUCUUCUUUGUUUUCACAUUGUUACCAAGUCAUUCCAUCCUUCAAUGUUGUAUUAUUUGCUGUUUAAGAACUCGUGUUUCUUUAUCGAAACGCCACUGAAAAGCUGACGUUGAGUUCGUCCGUUCAUCACUUGCUGGGGAGCGGUCAGGGUAGCCCGUAUGACGAAUAGUUCUCAAAUCACAAGAAGGAACAGUUCUGAAGAUGGCUGUCGGCAAGCCCCCUUGUGCAUUCGGGGUCUUGAUGCUCCGACGGUUCUGGCUACCACGUGACUACUCUUCCAUCGGCGCUGUCGGGCGAACGGCAAUGAAGCAGUCUCGGUGUGUUUAUCGAAUAAAGUUCGUGAGAGCUCUGUGA